UCGAGCGAGAAUUUGAACCUGAGGUAUCCUCGUAGAUUCUCUCGGUACAUCUAAAUUCAGUGUAUUGUUGCUGUUGAUGUUAUUGUUCUGUGCUGAUGUGUUGCCAAUGUUGUUGCUCUUGUUUGCCCACACCUCGCACCCGCGCCAAGCUGAUUAAUUUAACCAUCACACUCCUAUGUGUUUCAGGAGUUGCUAAGGAAUAAAUACUUACAACGUAAAGUAGAAGAUUUGGAAUUAUUGAAGGAAAAGGAGAUUUGUGUUGGAAAAUUGAAAAAAAAUGUUUGUUAUAAAAAUAUUUCGGUGCAGAGGAAAAUGGCAUGAAACAAAUGAUGAAAUAAAGCAGAAUAAAGUAUAAAGAUCAAUAACAAAUAUUAUUUAUUUCAGAAAGGAAAGUGGAAGAUAAUGCUUUAAUUAUUAUUUCUUUCAUGUGAGACACGGAUUAUUGAGUGGUUACUGGGAUACAAAUAUUCCAUUCAAGUGAAGGAAAAUAAUUCAGCCUUCAAUAAUAUUUCUAAAAAUCUACAGGUAAAUGCUCUUUAAACAUUUAACUACGGAAAUUUGUAAAAUCUUUAUAUAUAUGUGUAUAUUUUUUUUGUUUUUUGGUGCGAAAAUAAAUAAAUAAAUAAGAACAAUGGAAAAAUCAAAAUUUUCU